rnacentral:lncRNA from 1 species
AGAGACAUGAGUAGAAAGAAAGAACUACACCUGAAGAUUGGAGUUUAAUUCCUGGAAAAUAUUAAGCAACUACACGAACAAAAUUGAUAUCAAUACUAGAACAGAACUUGAACCAAACAAUAAGCUCGGACGGAAUCUAUGCCUAAUCUCGAACCUCAGCCCCAACUCAGAACAAAAUGAAAUUUCUGAAUUAAAAAGGUGAGACGAACAGAGUUGCUAACAUCAAAUGAAAAAAAAUUUGUAUCUUUAUUUGUCACUGGAAUUCAACAAAGAAAAGGCAUAUGAAUUAAAAGAGAAUCAGAG